UACGGGAGGCAGCAGUGGGGAAUAUUGCACAAUGGGGGGAACCCUGAUGCAGCCAUGCCGCGUGAAUGAAGAAGGCCUUCGGGUUGUAAAGUUCUUUCGGUAACGAGGAAGGUUGAUAGGUUAAUAGCCUAUCAAAUUGACGUUAAUCACAGAAGAAGCACCGGCUAACUCCGUGCCAGCAGCCGCGGUAAU
rnacentral:rRNA from 1 species